rnacentral:rRNA from 1 species
UAGGGAAUCUUCGGCAAUGGACGAAAGUCUGACCGAGCAACGCCGCGUGAGUGAAGAAGGUUUUCGGAUCGUAAAACUCUGUUGUUAGAGAAGAACAAGGACGUUAGUAACUGAACGUCCCCUGACGGUAUCUAACCAGAAAGCCACGGCUAACUACGUGCCAGCAGCCGCGGUAAUACGUAGGUGGCAAGCGUUGUCCGGAUUUAUUGGGCGUAAAGCGAGCGCAGGCGGUUUCUUAAGUCUGAGGUGAAAGCCCCCGGCUCAACCGGGGAGGGUCAUUGGAAACUGGGGGACUUGAGUGCAGAAGAGGAGAGUGGAAUUCCAUGUGUAGCGGUGAAAUGCGUAGAUAUAUGGAGGAACACCAGUGGCGAGGGCGGCUCUCUGGUCUGUAACUGACGCUGAGGCUCGAAAGCGUGGGGAGCAAACAGG